rnacentral:rRNA from 1 species
CAAGUCGAACGAUGAAGCCGCUUCGGUGGUGGAUUAGUGGCGAACGGGUGAGUAACACGUGGGCAAUCUGCCCUUCACUCUGGGACAAGCCCUGGAAACGGGGUCUAAUACCGGAUAAUACUCCUGCCUGCAUGGGUGGGGGUUGAAAGCUCCGGCGGUGAAGGAUGAGCCCGCGGCCUAUCAGCUUGUUGGUGGGGUAAUGGCCUACCAAGGCGACGACGGGUAGCCGGCCUGAGAGGGCGACCGGCCACACUGGGACUGAGACACGGCCCAGACUCCUACGGGAGGCAGCAGUGGGGAAUAUUGCACAAUGGGCGAAAGCCUGAUGCAGCGACGCCGCGUGAGGGAUGACGGCCUUCGGGUUGUAAACCUCUUUCAGCAGGGAAGAAGCGCAAGUGACGGUACCUGCAGAAGAAGCGCCGGCUAACUACGUGCCAGCAGCCGCGGUAAUACGUAGGGCGCAAGCGUUGUCCGGAAUUAUUGGGCGUAAAGAGCUCGUAGGCGGCUUGUCACGUCGGAUGUGAAAGCCCGGGGCUUAACCCCGGGUCUGCAUUCGAUACGGGCUAGCUAGAGUGUGGUAGGGGAGAUCGGAAUUCCUGGUGUAACGGUGAAAUGCGCAGAUAUCCGGAGGAACACCGGUGGCAAAAGCGGAUCUCUGGGCCAUUUCUGACGCUGAGGAGCGAAAGCGUGGGGAGCGAACAGGAUUAAAUAUACUGGUAGUCCACGCCGUAAACGUUGAGAACUCCGUGUUGGCGACAAUUGUCCUCCCCGAUGUCGGCGCAUUUGCAGGAUA